GAGGAUAUAACUCAGUGGCAGAGUGUGUGCUUAGCAUACACAAGGUCCUGGGUUCAAUCCCUGGUACUGCCA
rnacentral:tRNA from 1 species